rnacentral:rRNA from 1 species
GUGGGGAAUCUUGCGCAAUGGGCGAAAGCCUGACGCAGCCAUGCCGCGUGAAUGAUGAAGGUCUUAGGAUUGUAAAAUUCUUUCACCGGGGACGAUAAUGACGGUACCCGGAGAAGAAGCCCCGGCUAACUUCGUGCCAGCAGCCGCGGUAAUACGAAGGGGGCUAGCGUUGCUCGGAAUUACUGGGCGUAAAGGGCGCGUAGGCGGACAGUUUAGUCAGAGGUGAAAGCCCAGGGCUCAACCUUGGAAUUGCCUUUGAUACUGGCUGUCUUGAGUACGGGAGAGGUGAGUGGAACUCCGAGUGUAGAGGUGAAAUUCGUAGAUAUUCGGAAGAACACCAGUGGCGAAGGCGACUCACUGGCCCGUUAUUGACGCUGAGGCGCGAAAGCGUGGGGAGCAAACAGGAUUAGAUACCCUUGUAGUCC